UGGAGAUCCACUUCAAUUCACCAUUUAAGAUCAACAAUUCACAAAUCAAACCACGAUUCAGGCAUCCAAACGUAUCUUAUACAUGAACAAAUGAAAUAUUCUUUUUAAAUGUUUCGUUUUUAACAUAGCUGCAUGUGUUGACAACACAAAAGUAAAUGUAUUCGUCUAUGGAGGCUAAUACUCAAAACCAAGGUAGAAAAACGCCCUACAGACUGAUCUGGAUGGAUCGUCUUUGAAACAAGUCCAACUGAGGCUCAGUAGUGGGCGUGGCCUCCACAUACCCAUGUGACUUCACUUCAACGACUGUUUCUGCUCUCCUGGGGGAUCUCCUCUCACACCUAGACCAAAGCAUCCACCAACACUGAACCGUCUUGGUGUACCCUGGUGGAUGGGCCCAGACAGGAUGUCCCAGAUGUGGAUCCGGGUCUGAGGAUCCAAAACAUUCUCACUCCAAAUCCGUCACAUAUCGACGUGUGGUUAAGGACUCCUCCUCGUCUCUUUUGGACAUUCUGGGAGUUUUUUUGCAGGGUUUUAUGCUAGAAAGGUUCCUCCAGUAGGUGGAGACCGUCAUGUCUGUCCCGCCCCCAAACCUUCACCCCCCUUUGAGGUGAAAGCAGAGACAUCUGCAUCCUUCUCAUGAUAACACUGAAGAACCCGACAGUGUCACACAUUAAAUAUGAUCCUCUUCCUGUUUCUGUUGUUCCCACCAACGAACGGCGCUCCUUCCAGCUACAGCGUCCAUCAAACGCCUCCUUCCCUCAUCAAGAGUCCCGGUCAGUCGGUUCUGGGCCAGAUCUACUGUUCACACAGCAUCCCGAACUAUGACAACAUCCUCUGGUACAAGCAGGACGGCGGGGGGGCUCUGAAGUACCUGGGAUACCUGAACCUGCAGCACCUGUAUCCAGAGAACGACGUGAAGGAGAUCCUCAGCUUCAGCGGAGACGGCAGAACGCACUCCAACCUGAGCUUUGUUAGCGUGUCCCAGAACGACUCGGCCGUGUAUUUCUGUGCUGCUAGGAGAGCACAGUACAGUAGAUCCCCAAGCAGGCGGUGCAAAAACCCCGCAGACAUGCAGCCCCGCCCCGCCACAGCAGGAACCAGGGGUGACGGCUGACGCACCACUUCCUGCUUCUUCAUGGAGAUGAAGGCAUCACAGAACCCUCCACAUCACUGAGUUAACAACUCUUUCUUUUAUGAGUUUUUAAUAAAUAUUUUGAGUUUUCAUGUUUUCUGGUUUUCUUAAUCUCACAUUAAAGAGGAGCUGAAAAAAACUCACAUUUUUCUUUGGGACUGUAAAAGCAUCCGAUCAUUCUUCUUUAUGACUUUUAGAAAAUUCAGAAACAGAUUUUAAUCCCUGGACAACUGACAAGGUCAAAUUUAGUCAAAUGUGGCCACUGUAGACAUUUAUUUUUAUAUUUAUUUAUUUGUUUUAAUGUUUAUUUGUAUUUAUAUGUAUUAAUUUUAAAAAUACCGGUAUUUAUUAAGAUUUCUUUAUUUGUUUU